rnacentral:rRNA from 1 species
UACGUAGGGGCUAGCGUUGUCCGGAUUUAUUGGGCGUAAAGAGCGUGUAGGCGGCCAGGUAGGUCUGCUGUGAAAACUCGAGGCUCAACCUCGAGACGUCGGCGGAAACCAUCUGGCUAGAGUCCGGAAGAGGAGAGUGGAAUUCCUGGUGUAGCGGUGAAAUGCGUAGAUAUCGAGAGGAACACCUGCGGCGAAGGCGGGUAGCUGGGCCGACACUGACGCUGAGGCGCGAAAGCCAGGGGAGCGAACGGG